GAGAACGAACGCUGGCGGCGCGCCUAAUACAUGCAAGUCGAGCGAGAAGACGUAGCAAUACGUUUGUAAAGCGGCGAACGGGUGAGGAAUACAUGGGUAACCUACCCUCGACGUGGGAAUAACUAGCCGAAAGGUUAGCUAAUACCGCGUACGCUCCUUGGACUUCGGUUCAGGGAGGAAAGCGAUACCGUGGGUAUCGCGCUCUUGGAUGGGCUCAUGUCCUAUCAGCUUGUUGGUGAGGUAACGGCUCACCAAGGCUUCGACGGGUAGCUGGUCUGAGAGGACGAUCAGCCACACUGGCACCGCGACACGGGCCAGACUCCUACGGGAGCAGCAGUAAGGAAUAUUGCGCAAUGGGCGAAAGCCUGACGCAGCGACGCCGCGUGGGGGA
rnacentral:rRNA from 1 species